AGGGCCUUUGAGAGGUGAUUAGGCGAUGAGAGUGGAGCCUCAUGAACAGGAUUAGAGCCCUUAUAAAAGGACCCCGGAGAAGUCCCUUGUCCCCUUCUGC